AUGGCACACGCCGCUGCACCCUCGAUCUGUAGAGAGGCGCGGAGCAGUGGACCAUGGCGCGGCUGUAGGGCUUCAACUCCCCGACGAGCGGCGCCCUCCGGCGUGGCUGCUCGGGGCCACGGCCGCUCCCGUGAAGGUGAUGGGACGGCCAGACAGCGAUGCCCUCAGACGCGCACGACGUGGCCUGGCCCUCCAGCGCGGUACCCUCUGCGGCGUCGACAGAGCGGUUCCGUAUAUAUUGGCGAUGCGGCGCUGCUAGCGCAUGGUACGGCAGCGCACAGUGCGACCGUCUCCCGGCGGUGGCGGUUAUCAGGGACUGCACGAGAAAAAAAAAAGAGAACCUUAUCUCUUCGGCAGUUUUCACUUCAGGCCUUGUGGUUUCCUAUAAUCACAAAUGACUGCCUACAAUUCUCUCACGCAUGA
rnacentral:rRNA from 1 species